AUUGGCCAGUGGCGCUCGCUGUCCAUCGUAAAUCCAAUU
rnacentral:sRNA from 1 species